rfam:Schistosoma margrebowiei strain Zambia genome assembly, scaffold: SMRZ_scaffold0000667
GCACUACUGAAGAGUCCCACAAUAGGACGAAAAGGCCGUUCAGUGC